GACGAACGCUGGCGGCGUGCUUAACACAUGCAAGUCGAACGGUGAAGGGGCCUGCUUUUGUGGGUCCUGGAUGAGUGGCGAACGGGUGAGUAACACGUGAGUAACCUGCCCCCUUCUUCUGGAUAACCGCUUGAAAGGGUGGCUAAUACGGGAUGUUUCUGGGUCUGUCGCAUGGCGGGUUCGGGAAAGAUGGCACUGUUUGGUGUUUUUGGUGGGGGAUGGGCUCGCGGCCUAUCAGCUUGUUGGUGGGGUGAUGGCCUGCCAAGGCUUUGACGGGUAGCCGGCCUGAGAGGGUGGGCGGUCACACUGGGACUGAGAUACGGCCCAGACUCCUACGGGAGGCAGCAGUGGGGAAUAUUGCACAAUGGGCGGAAGCCUGAUGCAGCGACGUCGCGUGAGGGAUGGAGGCCUUCGGGUUGUGAACCUCUUUCGCCAGUGAGGAAGGCCUUGCCUGUGUGGUGGGGGGACGGAGC
rnacentral:rRNA from 1 species